GCUCAGCCGUCAACAAAGACAGUCUAAAAUACAACACUGUUCGCCAGAGAACUACAAGCUAAAACUCAAAACUCCAAGGACUUGGCGGUGCUCCACACCGACCUAGAGGAGCCUGUCCUAUAAUCGAUACCCCCCGAUCUACCUCACCACUUUUUGAAAUUCAGCCUAUAUACCGCCGUCGCCAGCCUACCUUAUGAAAGAAAUAAAGUAAGCAAAAUAGUCACCAACUAAAACGUCAGGUCAAGGUGUAGCACAUAAGGUGGCAGAGAUGGGCUACACUCUCUCCCCCAGAGGACACGAACAGCAUCAAUGAAACACUGCUUAAAGGCGGAUUUAGUAGUAAGAUAGACAAGAGAACCUAUCUUAAACCAGCCCUGGAGCGCGC
rnacentral:rRNA from 1 species